rnacentral:rRNA from 1 species
GGUUCUCGACAAUGGAUAUUUCAGCGCUCGUUACAAUGAUAAACAUAGUGAAAUGCGGUAGUUAGUGUGAAUUGAAAAAUCUCAUAAAUCAAGUUUUUUAAUGCAAUUUGCACCUAAGGCCUCAAUUGAGGGCACGUUUGUCUAGGCGUCA